GAUGAACGCUAGCGAUAGGCCUAACACAUGCAAGUCGAGGGGCAUCACAUGAAGUAGCAAUACGGAUGGUGGCGACCGGCGCACGGGUGAGUAACACGUAUGCAACCUGCCUUCAACAAGGGGAUAACCCGUUGAAAGACGGACUAAUACCCUAUAACACAGGGGUCCCGCAUGGGAAUAUUUGUUAAAGGACAACCGGUUGAAGAUGGGCAUGCGUUCCAUUAGCUAGUUGGUGAGGUAACGGCUCACCAAGGCAACGAUGGAUAGGGGAACUGAGAGGUUUAUCCCCCACACUGGUACUGAGACACGGACCAGACUCCUACGGGAGGCAGCAGUGAGGAAUAUUGGUCAAUGGACGCAAGUCUGAACCAGCCACGUCGCGUGAAGGAAGACGGCCCUACGGGUUGUAAACUUCUUUUAUACGGGAAUAAAGUGCCCCACGCGUGGGGUUUUGCAUGUACCGUAUGAAUAAGGAUCGGCUAACUCCGUGCCAGCAGCCGCGGUAAAUCACACUA
rnacentral:rRNA from 1 species